rnacentral:misc_RNA from 1 species
GAUGAAGAACGCAGCGAAAUGCGAUAAGUAAUGUGAAUUGCAGAAUUCAGUGAAUCAUCGAAUCUUUGAACGCACAUUGCGCCCGCUGGUAUUCCGGCGGGCAUGCCUGUACGAGCGUCAUUUCAACCCUCAAGCUCUCCGGAGUUUGGUGUUGGGGCGCCUGGGGCUUUUCGACCUCAGGGCCCUCAAGUCCAUCGGCGGGACCGCCAGGACACUGAGCGCAGUAGUAUUAUUUCGCUCGGUAGGAUCUUCCACGGCGGGUCGAUCUGGCCGCUAAACCCCCCAAUUCUCACCAAAGGUUGACCUCGGAUCAGGUAGGAAUACCCGCUGAACUUAAGCAUAUCAAUAAGCGGAGGA